CGCCCUCUUCGGCGGCGACGGCGGCGACGACGAGUAGAGCUAGAGCGCCGUCACCCCGCCUCGCCGGAGCAGCUAGCGUCGAUCUCGGUUAGGUUGGUGGUCGGUUUGUUUGCUAGGGUUUGCUUCCGCAAUAUGAGGAUCUUGAGGAGCUCGAGUGUAAAACUGCGAGGUGUAAAUUAUUAAAAUUACAGGAGUGCCCCGUCUCGUCGGGUUGCUCUGUACAAGGCUGAAGCUUCUUGUGCCGUAUCCGGUCCAUGUGCUUUGUACCCUUCUCCUACGCCUCUCUCUCUUUUCUCCUUGCUAUUACUACCUUUAUUUUUCGUUCUCCUAACUUCUAUUUUCCAUGUUCAACGUUAAACCAUUCGUUUUAUUUAAAAAAUUAUAUAAAAAUUUAAAAAAA
rnacentral:lncRNA from 1 species